rnacentral:rRNA from 1 species
CAGCAGCCACGGGAAGACGAACCGUGCGAACGUUAUUCGGAAUCACUGGGCCUAAAGCGCGUGUAGGCGGAUGGGAGCGUCGGCCUCUGAAAUCCCCCGGCUCAACCGGGGAAGUGGAGCCGAAACGACCCGUCUGGAGGGACGUAGGGGGACCUGGAACUUCCGGUGGAGCGGUGAAAUGCGUUGAGAUCGGAAGGAACGCCCGUGGCGAAAGCGAGGUCCUGGACGUCUGCUGACGCUGAGACGCGAAAGCCAGGGGAGCGAACGGGAUUAGAUACCCCAGUAGUCCCUGUCUCUUAUA